rnacentral:rRNA from 1 species
CCUACGGGAGGCAGCAGUGAGGAAUAUUGGUCAAUGGGCGUAAGCCUGAACCAGCCAAGUCGCGUGAGGGAUGAAGGUUCUAUGGAUCGUAAACCUCUUUUAUAAGGGAAUAAAGUGCGGGACGUGUCCCGUUUUGUAUGUACCUUAUGAAUAAGGAUCGGCUAACUCCGUGCCAGCAGCCGCGGUAAUACGGAGGAUCCGAGCGUUAUCCGGAUUUAUUGGGUUUAAAGGGUGCGUAGGCGGCCUUGUAAGUCAGCGGGGAAAGUCUGGGGCUCAAACAUAGACUUGCCGUGGAAACUGGGAGGCUUGAGUAUGUUAGAGGCAGGCGGAAUGCGUGGUGUAGCGGUGAAAUGCGUAGAUAUAACGCAGAACCCCGAUUGCGAAGGCAGCCUGCCAGGCCAUGACUGACGCUGAUGCACGAAAGCGUGGGGAGCAAACAGGAUUAGAUACCCUUGUAGUC